rnacentral:rRNA from 1 species
GUUUGAUCCUGGCUCAGGAUGAACGCUAGCGGUAGGCUUAACACAUGCAAGUCGAGGGGCAGCGAGAGUAGCAAUACUUGUCGGCGACCGGCGCACGGGUGCGUAACGCGUAUGCAACUUUCCUUUAACUGGGGGAUAGCCCGGGGAAACUCGGAUUAAUACCCCAUAAUAUACAGGAUUCGCAUGUUUUCUGUAUUAAAGCUCCGGCGGUUAAAGAUGGGCAUGCGUGACAUUAGUUUGUUGGUGAGGUAACGGCUCACCAAGACUACGAUGUCUAGGGGGUCUGAGAGGAUGAUCCCCCACACUGGUACUGAGACACGGACCAGACUCCUACGGGAGGCAGCAGUGAGGAAUAUUGGUCAAUGGGCGCAAGCCUGAACCAGCCAUACCGCGUGAAGGAUGAAAGCGCUAUGCGUUGUAAACUUCUUUUCUGCAAGAAGAAACUUUCGUACGUGUACGGAACUGACGGUAUUGCAGGAAUAAGGAUCGGCUAACUCCGUGCCAGCAGCCGCGGUAAUACGGAGGAUCCGAGCGUUAUCCGGAUUUAUUGGGUUUAAAGGGUGCGUAGGCGGCUUAUUAAGUCAGUGGUGAAAGCCUGGAGCUUAACUCCAGAACUGCCAUUGAUACUGAUAAGCUUGAGUACAGUUGAGGUGGGCGGAAUGUGUCAUGUAGCGGUGAAAUGCGUAGAUAUGACACAGAACACCGAUUGCGAAGGCAGCUCACUAAGCUGAAACUGACGCUGAGGCACGAAAGCGUGGGGAGCAAACAGGAUUAGAUACCCUGGUAGUCCACGCUGUAAACGAUGAUUACUCGCUGUAGGCGAUACACAGUCUGCGGCUGAGCGAAAGCAUUAAGUAAUCCACCUGGGGAGUACGGCGGCAACGCUGAAACUCAAAGGAAUUGACGGGGGCCCGCACAAGCGGAGGAACAUGUGGUUUAAUUCGAUGAUACGCGAGGAACCUUACCUGGGUUUAAAUGAAGAAAGACGUACCUGGAAACGGGUAUUCCCUUCGGGGCUUUUUUCACGGUGCUGCAUGGUUGUCGUCAGCUCGUGCCGUGAGGUGUCGGCUUAAGUGCCAUAACGAGCGCAACCCCCAUUGUUAGUUGCCAGCGGGUUAUGCCGGGGACUCUAACGAAACUGCCACCGUAAGGUGUGAGGAAGGUGGGGAUGACGUCAAAUCAGCACGGCCCUUAUAUCCAGGGCUACACACGUGUUACAAUGGCCAGUACAAUGGGUUGCUACUUGGUGACAAGAUGCUAAUCUCCAAAGCUGGUCCUAGUUCGGACC